rnacentral:sRNA from 1 species
GCCAGGCACUGUGGCAAAUGCCUGUAAUCCCAGCAGCUUGGGAGGCUGAGGCAGGAGGAUCAUGAGUUCAAAGCCAACCUAAGCAAAAGUGAAGCCCUAAGCAAUUAGAGACCCUGUCUCCA